UGAACCUGGUUGAUCCUGCCAGUAGUCAUAUGCUUGUCUCAAAGAUUAAGCCAUGCAUGUCUCAGUAUAAGCUUCUAUAUGGCGAAACUGCGAAUGGCUCAUUAAAACACUUAUAGUUUCUUUGAUGGUCAUUUUUACAUGGAUAACUGUGGUAAUUCUAGAGCUAAUACGUGCAUACAAACCCGACUUCGUAG
rnacentral:rRNA from 1 species